AGUCGAGCGAACCGAUUAAGAGCUUGCUCUUAAGAAGUUAGCGGCGGACGGGUGAGUAACACGUAGGUAACCUGCCUAUAAGACUGGGAUAACUCCGGGAAACCGGGGCUAAUACCGGAUAACAUUUUGCACCGCAUGGUGCGAAAUUGAAAGGCGGCUUCGGCUGUCACUUAUAGAUGGACCUGCGGCGCAUUAGCUAGUUGGUGAGGUAACGGCUCACCAAGGCGACGAUGCGUAGCCGACCUGAGAGGGUGAUCGGCCACACUGGGACUGAGACACGGCCCAGACUCCUACGGGAGGCAGCAGUAGGGAAUCUUCCGCAAUGGACGAAAGUCUGACGGAGCAACGCCGCGUGAACGAUGAAGGCUUUCGGGUCGUAAAGUUCUGUUGUUAGGGAAGAACAAGUGCUAGUUGAAUAAGCUGGCACCUUGACGGUACCUAACCAGAAAGCCACGGCUAACUACGUGCCAGCAGCCGCGGUAAUACGUAGGUGGCAAGCGUUAUCCGGAAUUAUUGGGCGUAAAGCGCGCGCAGGUGGUUUCUUAAGUCUGAUGUGAAAGCCCACGGCUCAACCGUGGAGGGUCAUUGGAAACUGGGAGACUUGAGUGCAGAAGAGGAAAGUGGAAUUCCAUGUGUAGCGGUGAAAUGCGUAGAGAUAUGGAGGAACACCAGUGGCGAAGGCGACUUUCUGGUCUGCAACUGACACUGAGGCGCGAA
rnacentral:rRNA from 1 species